rnacentral:rRNA from 1 species
GCGUGCGGGUCGUGGCCUCCUUGGAUUUACAAACGACUCUCGGCAACGGAUAUCUCGGCUCACGCAUCGAUGAAGAACGUAGCAAAAUGCGAUACUUGGUGUGAAUUGCAGAAUCCCGUGAACCAUCGAGUUUUUGAACGCAAGUUGCGCCCAAAGCCAUCCG